rnacentral:rRNA from 1 species
AUUGAACGCUGGCGGCAGGCCUAACACAUGCAAGUCGAACGAGUGGCGGACGGGUGAGUAAUGUCUGGGAAACUGCCUGAUGGAGGGGGAUAACUACUGGAAAGGGUAGCUAAUACCGCAUACCAUCGAAUGUACCCAGAUGGGAUUAGCUAGUAGGUGGGGAAAAGGCUCACCUAGGCGACGAUCCCUAGCUGUUGUGAGAGGAUGACAAGCAACACUGGACCUGAGACACGGUCCAGACUCCUACGGGAGGCAGAAGUGGGGAAUAUUGCACAAUGGGCGCAAUCUGGAUGCAGCCAUGCCGCGUGUAUGAAGAAGGCCUUCGGGUUGUAAAGUACUUUCAGCGGGGAGGCGUUACCCGCAGAAGAAGCACCGGCUAACUCCGUGCCAGCAGCCGCGGUAAUUC